rnacentral:snRNA from 1 species
AUCGCUUCUCGGCCUUUUGGCUAAGAUCAAGUGUAGAUAGAAAACUGAGGCCCAGAAAAAUUAAAAUUAAGGUCUGGUUCAGUACAUCAUUUACUCAUAGCUUGUUUUGGUUGUUAUUUAAAUGUUUUCUGCAUGCAGAUCUUAUCUCUAGUAAGAUUUAGAAUUCCUAGCAUGGGGAAGAGUUU